CUACGGGGUGCUGCAGUGGGGAAUAUUGGACAAUGGGCGCAAGCCUGAUCCAGCAAUGCCGCGUGAGUGAAGACGGCCUUAGGGUUGUAAAACUCUUUCGCUAGGGAAGAUAAUGACUGUACCUAGUAAAGAAGUCCCGGCUAACUCCGUGCCAGCAGCCGCGGUAAUACGGAGGGGACUAGCGUUGUUCGGAAUUACUGGGCGUAAAGAGUUCGUAGGCGGACUGACAAGUGAGAGGUGAAAUCCCAGGGCUCAACCCUGGAACUGCCUUUAAAACUGUCAGUCUAGAGACCGGAAGAGGUUAGGGGAAUACCUAGUGUAGAGGUGAAAUUCGUAGAUAUUAGGUGGAACACCAGUGGCGAAGGCGCCUAACUGGUCCGGUACUGACGCUGAGGAACGAAAGCGUGGGGAGCAAACAGGAUUAGAUACCCGUGUAGUC
rnacentral:rRNA from 1 species